rnacentral:rRNA from 1 species
GACGAACGCUGGCGGCGUGCUUAACACAUGCAAGUCGAACGAAGAGCGAUGGGAGCUUGCUUCUAUCAAUCUUAGUGGCGAACGGGUGAGUAACGCGUAAUCAACCUGCCCUUCUGAGGGGGACAACAGUUGGAAACGACUGCUAAUACCGCAUACGAUCUAAUCUCGGCAUCGAGGAUAGAUGAAAGGUGGCCUCUACAUGUAAGCUAUCACUGAAGGAGGGGAUUGCGUCUGAUUAGCUAGUUGGAGGGGUAACGGCCCACCAAGGCGAUGAUCAGUAGCCGGUCUGAGAGGAUGAACGGCCACAGUGGGACUGAGACACGGCCCAGACUCCUACGGGAGGCAGCAGUGGGGAAUCUUCCGCAAUGGACGAAAGUCUGACGGAGCAACGCCGCGUGAGUGAUGACGGCCUUCGGGUUGUAAAGCUCUGUUAAUCGGGACGAAAGGCCUUCUUGCGAAUAGUGAGAAGGAUUGACGGUACCGGAAUAGAAAGCCACGGCUAACUACGUG